rnacentral:lncRNA from 1 species
ACUGGUCCCCACGGACCAAAAGUAUAGGAGCGAAGCGACUAUACUUGUUAUAUAGGAGCGUCUGCGACUAUAUUAUGCACGCGGGCCCGGGUCCGAAAAAUCGUGUUUUUUUGGAAAUAAAAAUUCAUAUCUUUGGCUGUAUGGCUAGCGAAACGAUGAAAUUUGGCAUAGGGUCUCUCAAUACAUUGGGAAUGAUGGAUCCGUAAACGAAUUUUUUUUCCGGUACCACCAAACGGAGCGGUACUGUCUCAAAUUCAAAAAUUCGUAAAAAAAUUGGUAAAAAUCGAGUUGCUCACGAGAUCUCAAUUUUAAAGCGUUCAAUCGAGUUGAAAUUUUCAGGAUAUAUGGGUUCUUGGGGCUUACGUGUCUGUAUACUUUUUGAGCCCGAUCGGUAUACAGGGUGAGUUGUUAUAAGCGAACAAAAGUGACUAAAAAAAAAAUUCAAACUUCUCCAGAGGCUAAAAAAAAAUUUUUAUAAAAAAAGUGUUUCGGCGAAAAGACUUCAUUUUAUAAGAGAUUUAACAUACUUGGAGCUUUUUUUUGUAAAAAAUUUAUUUUACGAGUUCUGGCAUUUUCAGUUUUUUGGGAUUUUCCGCCAAACGAUACUUAUUUUGGGAAAAUUUUUUUUUUCAAAAAAUAACUUCAUCUUUUACCUUUUAUAUGCCAUAUAACCGAAAUUUUUGGGAACCAUACAGGGCGAGCAAUAAUGAACUUUACCCAUGAAGGUCCGACCCGAAAAUCACAUUUUAUUUAAUAACUUUUUCGUAGUAGCAUCUGGACCAUUUAUAUUCUCAGGCAUUAAAUACUUUAAUAACCCCAAUAUUUAUGUAAAAUUACAAUCUUCCAACAUUAAUAGGUUCUGAGCAAUUCGAAUUUUCGCGUUUAAUUCAUUUGCCACGUCCCUGUACAUGGUGAAAAGAUCAGACAUCAUCUAAAAGAUCCGAAAUUUUGUUUUACAACACAUACUAAAAUUUCAGGGUUCCAGCGAUAGUACAAGUACCCGAAAAAUGCGAUUUUAUGAAAAAAGUCCAUUUUUUUGCGUUUUUGCAGGUAAUUGGAGGUGUCAACCUAAACUCUGAUGAAAUGGCUAGUGGGAACAAUACUUUGACGCUUUGUGGUUAAAGAUUUUUUGCUCGUGACAGGUGGCCGGGACUUGGUUGGGUUUUUUGUAAAAUUAUGAAUGAAAAUGAACCGGAAACGAUCAGGGAAAGGAAGCACCGAAUCAGAAAAUGAAUGGGCUUUCCGAAUCUGUGCAUAUCAAUUGGGGAAAUUGUGUAUUGCGGCCAGGAAAAUUCGGCAAACAUUUUGACGUCUUCGAAAAAUGCCGUUUUUUUGAAAUGUCAGUGUCUUUAUACCGGGGUGAGACGAAAUGAAAUUUGCCCGAUUAUUUUAUUAAAAUUAUUCGAAUAUAUACACGGGUCAGUCGUAAUGAUCUAUUUAAUUUAAAAUAAAAAUUUAGAUAUUUGGUGAGUUUUUACUAUUUAGUUUAUUAUUAAUAAAUGUUAACAAUUCUUAAACAUUGCUUUUGGGAUAUAAAUAAAAAUUUUUUGAAAUUAUUUAUUUUUAAGG